CGUCGUUCCAUGCCAAUUCAGAAGCAAGGAUACGAAACUGGACUGCAUAGUCUCCCACAGAGGAAGUCCCUUGACUCAGGUUAAGAAGCGCAGACUCGGCAGAGGAAACACGUGUGGGUUCUUCAAAAACGCUGCGGAAUUCAGCGAGAAAAGCCGUGAGGUUGAAGGUAAUUGGAUCGCUACGAUCCCAGAGCGGAGUAGCCCAGGCCAGGGCCUUCCCAGACAAGAGAAUGAUCACAAAGGCCACCAUAGCAUGCUCCGUAGGAAACUGAUCCGCCAUGAGCUCCAGGUGCAAGGAGCACUGCAUCACAAAGCCUCUACAUUGCUUAGAAUCUCCGUUAAACUUCGUGAGAAGGGGAAGACGAAGCUUUGAAGCUGAAGGAACCUGUGGAGACUGCUGAUGCAUAGACAGAAGUAACUGCGCCAUGGUGGACAGUUGAUUUAAUUGCUGCGACUGGUGGGCCAACUGCUGCGACUGACGGACCACUUUGGAGGAGAGAUCCGACUCCUCAGGCAGGGGUACCUGAGCGGGAUCCAUGGCCGGAUCAUACUGUAAGACUCACCGCAGACGGCAGGUACCCAGGGAGUAGAUGACCCGUAAUACCACGGUAGUCUGGAGCAGGUGAAGUAGUAGAUCCGCUGGACCUGUGUGGCAGAUGACGUGGGCCUUGCCAGUGAGCGGAGUCUAAGGUGCUGCUGGUUUUCACAAGAGCCCGCCGCAAGGUGCUACUCCUGGCAAGACUCGACCACACAGGAGGCUGAGGUGAAGCGUGGUACCAAAGGAAUAGGCAAGACGUAGUCGGGCAGGCUAGAGGUCAGGGCAGGCAGCACAAGAGUGUAGUCAGUAGGGUAGCAGAAGGUCAAUAGGCUGGCGGCUAGAAACACGGUCGGGUCAUGGAAUACGGAGGUCUGGAACAUGGCAAGGAAAUAACUAGAAGUGCUUUCUCUAAGGUGCAGGGCAAACAAAGAUCCGGCAGGGGUGCUAAGGAGGAGCUAGAACUUAUAAAAAAAAGGUGCAGGUGCAAUUACUAAUUGCAGACGCACUGGCCCUUUAAAUUUCACAGCUAGAAGGUGGGGGCGCGCAUGUUGGAGCUGAGGUACAGAGGCCGGGGACGGAGGUGAGUGACGGGCCGGGACUCGCAUGCGGGGGAAGAUGCGCUCACGGACGGAAUGUCCGGCCGGAGCGCCGCUUGUGACAUGAUCUAUUGGAUGAGAUCAGGUGACUGUGGAGGUGAUCUAUAGGAUUAGAUCUGGUGACUGUGGAGGUGAUGUAUAAUAUGAGAUCUGGUGAAUGUAAAGGUGAUCUGUAGGAUGAGAUCUGGUGAAUGUGGAGGUGAUGUAUAAUAGGAGAUCUGAUGACUGUGGAGGUGAUCUGUAGGAUGAGAUGUGGUGAAUGUAAAGGGGAUCUGUAGAAUGAGAUUUGGUGACACUGGAGGUGAUCUGUAGGAUGAGAUCUGGUGACUGUGGAGCCCAUUGGAAUCCAGUGACCUCAUUGUCCUGUAUGAGAUGAGGUCAUGUGACAUGGGGCAUUAUCCUGCUGGAGUAUCAGAAGAUGUGUCCACUGUGGUCAUGAAAGGAUGGACAUGGUCAGUAACAAUACUCAGGUACAAUACUCAGGCUGUGAUGUUUAUAUCAGACUCAAUUGUUACUAAGGGGCCCAAAGUGUGCCCAGAAAAUGUCCCCCACAUCAUAACUCUUCCUCCAAUGGCCUGACCCGCUGAUACAAGGCCGGAGGGAUCCAUAAUUUAUGUGGUUUACCCCAAAUUCUGCCCCAUCUGAUGUCACAGCUGGAAUGGAGACUCCUCAGACCAGGGAAUGUUCUUCCAUCUUAAAGUCUCCAGUUCUGGUUCCUGUGUGAAUUGUUCUUAGCUGACAGUAGUGGCUCCUAGUGUGGUCUUAGCUGACAGGAGUGGCACCCGGUGUGGUCUUAGCUGACAGGAGUGGCACCAGGUGUGGUCUUAGCUGACAGGAGUGGUCCCCGGUGUGGUCUUAGCUGACAGUAGUGGCCCCCGGUGUGGUCUUCUGCUGCUGUAGCCCAUCUGGUUGGAUGUGUUGUGCGUUCAGAUUAUAUUCUGCAGACCUUGGUGUCACCAGUGGUUAUUGAUGUUACUGUGGCCUUUCUGUCAUCUCAAACCAGUCUGCCCAUUCUUUUCUGACACAAGACAUUUCCUCUACACAGUGGCAGCUCAUGGGAUAUUUCCUCUUUUUUUAAACCGUUCUCUGUAAACCCCUGAGAUGGUUGUGGUGAUGAUCCCAGGAGAUCAGCAGAUUGUGAAAUCCUAAGACCGGCCCGUCUGGUACCAACAACCAGGACACGUUUACCGUCCCUUACAUCUUCUUUCUUCCCUAUUCUGAUGAUCCGUUGUCUUGACCACAUCUACAUGCCUAAAUGCAUUAAGGCUCUACCGUGUGAUUGGCUGAUCAGCUAUUUGUGUUAACAAGCAAUUGAACUGGUACCUAAUAAAGUAGCCAGUGAGGGUAUGUUAGAAGCGGGAAGAAAGGAAAGGAGGGAGAUAAUGGCUUUAUAUUGUAUCCCCUGAAGAACACGUGGUGUUUAUUAAGCAACUAUUUUCAUCAGACAAAGUUCAAGUCAACAACAAGGAUUUCUGGUGACCCCUGAGGAGCAGCUCAUGUUCGUGUUGGUGCACAGAGGAUAUAAGAUGCCUGAGAUACCAGCGUGAAGUCUUCUGCCCUGAGGCUGUGGAAUUGUAUGCAGACCAUCCUAUCACAUACAUGAGAGCGAGAGGCGUGCCACAGGGCGAGCAUGGACAGGUGAGGGGAGAAGAUAGGGACGGGGCGGGUGCAGCCAGGAUUAGGGAAGCAGAAAGGUGUGUCAGAGGAAGGGAGAGACGUCACCUGAGAGCCAGGGAAAGCUGUGUGGGAAGAACAGAGUCAGGACAUAGAAGCCAUAAUGUGUGGUGAGGAUACACAGGGGGACAGAUAUCAUAACUGAGGCCAGAGAGUGGGAGAAGCCAUACACAGAGGGCCAAGCCCCAUGAGGACAUAAUACGUCUACAACUGGACAGAAGACCAGAGAUAUAGCAAGAAAAGGACAAAGGAACCGCAAAGGAGGAUUCUAAGGCCGAAACUAUCAGGAAAACCCUCAGGUAGCCUCAGGCUUCACAUCUGGAGACUUCUCAAGGUGCGGAGGAAAUGUGGUCAGAGAUGGGUCCUGACUUAUUGAAGAGGAGGAGGACAUCUUAUAGUUAUAAGGUGUAGACAAGACGUCAGAUCUGCUCUGUAUGGUCACACGGUGCCCCUGACCUCCAAACAUGGCCGCACAUUCACAGGGUUUAUUUUCACAGGAGUCAGAGGAUGAGGAGAUCUGGGAGAAGCCUGUGAGUGACUGGUCCAUCCAAGAUGUCUGCUCCUGGCUCCAGUACGGGCCCCUACAGAACGCGGCUGGCCUGGUUCAAGCAGCUUAUUCCCAUCACAUCACAGGGCGGGCUCUGCUAAGGUUGACAGACAAUUUGCUGCAGAGGAUGGGAAUCCAACAGGAGAGUUUACGUCAAUCCAUUCUUGUAGAAGUCUUAGAGCUGAAACUACAGCAGGAAAUCCAGCAGCUUCUGCUCAUCACGGAGUGUGCGACUGAGCAGGAGUGUCUGUGAGGAAGACCGGGAUGAAGCUGUGGAUAUGUAAGGAGCUGCAGACAGUGUCAGCCAUGCUGGAUGCUUGAGCUAUGUGCUCCCUGGUGCCAGAGUCAACUUAAUUUUACGUUGUGGUCCUUGUAGGAGCUGGGGCCCCUGACCGAGAGCGCUAUAGAACCAUGCAACAACUGGUACCAGUCUAUUCUACAACCUAGGAAGACCAUGGACUGUUCUUCUGUAACCUAGGAGGACCAUACUGUACCAGGUGCUGGACUGUUCUCCUGUAACCUAGGAGGACCAUGCUGUACCAGGUCCUGGACUGUUCUCCUGUAACCUAGGAGGACCAUACUGUACCAGGUGCUGGACUGUUCUCCUGUAACCUAGGAGGACCAUACUGUACCAGGUCCUGGACUGUUCUCCUGUAACCUAGAAGGACCAUACUGUACCAGGUGCUGGACUGUUCUCCUGUAACCUAGAAGGACCAUGCUGAACCAGGUGCUGGACUGUUCUCCCGUAACCAUGAAGGACCAUGCUGAACCAGGUGCUGGACUGUUCUACUUUAACCUAUAAGGACCAUACUUUACCAGGUGCUGGACGGUUCUCUGUCAUAUAACCUAUAAGGACCAUACUUUACCAGGUGCUGGACUGUUUUCUGUCCUAUAACCUGUAAGGACCAUACUUUACCAGGUGCUGGACUGUUCUCUGUCAUAUAACCUAUAAGGACCAUACUUUACCAGGUAAUGGACUGUUCUCUGUCAUAUAACCUAGGAGGACCAUACUUUACCAGGUGAUGGACUGUUCUCUGUCAUAUAACCUAUAAGGACCAUACAUUACCAGGUGCUGGACUGUUCUCUGUCAUAUAACCUAUAAGGACCAUACUUUACCAAGUGCUGGACUGUUCUGUCAUAUAACCUAGGAGGACCAUACUUUACCUGGUGCUGGACUGUUCUCUGCCAUAUAACCUAGGAGGACCAUACAUUACCUGGUGCUGGACUGUUCUCUGUCAUAUAACCUAUAAGGACCAUACUUUACCUGGUGCUGGACUGUUCUCUGUCAUAUAACCUAUAAGGACCAUACUUUACCAAGUGCUGGACUGUUCUCUGCCAUAUAACCUAUAAGGACCAUACAUUACCAGGUGCUGGACUGUUCUCUGUCAUAUAACCUAGGAGGACCAUACUUUACCUGGUGCUGGACGGUUCUCUGUCAUAUAACCUAUAAGGACCAUACUUUACCUGGUGCUGGACUGUUCUCUGUCAUAUAACCUAGGAGGACCAUACUUUACCUGGUGCUGGACUGUUCUCCAUCAUAUAACCUAUAAGGACCAUACUUUACCAAGUGCUGGACUGUUCUCUGCCAUAUAACCUAGGAGGACCAUACUUUUCCUGGUGCUGGACUGUUCUCCAUCAUAUAACCUAGGAGGACCAUACUUUACCUGGUGCUGGACUGUUCUCUGUCAUAUAACCUAGGAGGACCAUACAUUACCUGGUGCUGGACUGUUCUCUGUCAUAUAACCUAUAAGGACCAUACUUUACCUGGUGCUGGACUGUUCUCCAUCAUAUAACCUAGGAGGACCAUACAUUACCUGGU